GAUGAACGCUGGCGGCGUGCCUAACACAUGCAAGUCGAGCGAUCUUCUCCGGAAGAGAGCGGCGGACGGGUGAGUAACGCGUGGGUAACCUGCCCUGUACACACGGAUAACAUACCGAAAGGUAUGCUAAUACGAGAUAAUAUACUUUUAUCGCAUGGUAGAAGUAUCAAAGCUCCGGCGGUACAGGAUGGACCCGCGUCUGAUUAGCUAGUUGGUAAGGUAACGGCUUGCCAAGGCGACGAUCAGUAGCCGACCUGAGAGGGUGAUCGGCCACAUUGGAGCUAAGACACGGUCCAAACUCCUACGGGAGGCAGCAGUGGGGAACAUUGCACAAUGGGGGAAAGCCUGAUGCAGCAACGCCGCGUGAGCGAUGAAGGCCUUCGGGUCGUAAAGCUCUGUCCUCAAGGAAGAUAAUGACGGUACUUGAGGAGGAAGCCCCGGCUAACUACGUGCCAGCCGCCGCAGUAA
rnacentral:rRNA from 1 species